rnacentral:lncRNA from 1 species
AUCCAUAUCCGCAACUCACAUUUCACUUUGAAAAACAUAGAUGUAUGUCAUUAAAAGCUCCAAACAAGUACAGUAAUUUAUGGAGACGAAAUUAGUCAAAAGUUUACAAGAAAUUAUCAAAUAGGGAAGGGAAUGAAAUUGUAACUUAACUUUUGUAUGGAACAAUAACCCACAUUUGUUUCAAUCACAUAAGCAUUUCAGUUUCAAAUUCUGCAAUACGCAAUGUGUUAAAAAUGGAUUAUCUUCCACCUUUUUCUCGUGAUUAAACACUUUUUCGUAUUUGACAUUCACAUUCGAAUCACAGUAAAAUAACUCUUUAAUGUUUGAAGAAGGAUUUCUUGGCAGCAGCAUGGCCUUCAGAUGGUGGAUGGUGGUUGUUAUUGACCUCUUAUUGUUCCAACGAAAACGAAAUUGAUGUCCAAAUCAUUGACCAGUAUGAAGAAUGUAAGAUCAUCCUCCAUGUUGCUUUCACAAUCCAAAAUUCAACCAACUUGUUACAGACACAUGCAACCUCUUGCUGAAGCCAGUGGAAUAGCGGUUGAAAUUUUCAUGGUGGAUAAUCUUGAAAAAACCAACCUUCUACGUUAGUUUCAAUAAUGCACUCAAAUUUGCAAUCAAGUCUUUACAAGUAACAGCAAGCACGGCAUACCUCAAAUCUACAUUACUUCAAUUCAUCAUUUUCCUUUGAAGUAUCUGUGUCCAACAUCUGAUGUAUAUCCAAAUAAGUGUACGAGAAUAUGAUCCUCCAAGGAUUCUCUAAAUUCAUGGAAAUCUAAGAGAAAAAUUGAGCAUACCAGUGUCAGAAGCAUUCCUGUAUUCACACCGGAGUCCCAACAAGAUAGGUAUUACGGUCAUGUAAGCAUUUAAAAGAGAAAGUACCUAUGUGAUGAAGUUAUUCAUUCUCUUCCAAGCUAAAAAGGAAAAUUGCAGAAGUCAACCUUUCUAUUAUCAUUUAAAUUCACAAGAAGAACAUACUAAAUAUCAAAAUUCACAUGGAAGUAGAGGAUAAUGUGAAGAGUUGGUUACCUUAAGAUCAUCCUUCAAAAUUGUUAAGCCAUGAGGUUCUGCAUGAACUAAAUCUGCCAUUGAUAUAUUCAAAAAAAUCAACCAAGUCACAUGUCUUAUUGAUGGCAACAGCUCACAUGCAUCCUUAAUUUCCAUGUUGCCUUCACAAUCCAAAGUAAACUAAAUGUCCAAGAUCACAUGAAACACAGGAUAAUGUUAAAAGUUAACAGAGAGAAUAUUAACACAGUGUCAACUAUGAAUGAUAAUCAAUUAUUGAAAGAUAAAAUUUACGCUGGAAAUAAAAAAGUUUACCAGGUUUUCCUCUAUUCAAAACUACAGCUUCUCCUCUUCAACAUUUUAGCCUAGAAUAAUACACAAAAUGCACACGCAUAAGAGGCUAGCAAGUCUUCAGAAAUUUGAGGUGGAUGGCAUGAUUGUGGAUCAUGGUAGCUAAUACAAG